GUAGGGGGCAAGCGUUGUCCGGAAUUAUUGGGCGUAAAGCGCGCGCAGGCGGUUCUUUAAGUCUGAUGUGAAAUCUUGCGGCUCAACCGCAAGCGGUCAUUGGAAACUGGAGAACUUGAGUGCAGGAGAGGAGAGCGGAAUUCCACGUGUAGCGGUGAAAUGCGUAGAUAUGUGGAGGAACACCAGUGGCGAAGGCGGCUCUCUGGCCUGCGACUGACGCUGAGGCGCGAAAGCGUGGGGAGCGAACAGGAUUAGAUACCCUGGUAGUCCACGCCGUAAACGAUGAGUGCUAGGUGUUAGGAGUUUCGAUACUCUUAGUGCCGAAGUUAACACAUUAAGCACUCCGCCUGGGGAGU
rnacentral:rRNA from 1 species